AACGAACGCUGGCGGCAUGCCUAACACAUGCAAGUCGAACGAAGCCUUCGGGCUUAGUGGCUCACGGGUGCGCAACGCGUGGGAAUCUGCCCUUUGGUUCGGAUUAUAAUGUGGAAACGACUGCUAAUACCAGAGGAUGUCGCAAGUCCAAAGAUUUAGAGCCAGAGGAUGUGCACGAGUAGGAUGAGCUAGGUGGUGUGGUAAAGUCGCACCAAGGCGACGAUACUUAGCUGGUAUGAGAGGAUGAUCAGCCACACUGAGACUGAGACACGGCCCAGACUCCUACGGGAGGCAGCAGUGGGGAAUAUUGGACAAUGGGCGAAAGCCUGAUCCAGCAAUGCCGCGUGAGUGAUGAAGGCCCUAGGGUUGUAAAGCUCUUUUACCCGGGAUGAUAAUGACAGUACCGAGAGAAUAAGCCCCGGCUAACUCCGUGCCAGCCGCCGCAGUAA
rnacentral:rRNA from 1 species